GCAGCAGGCGCGAAAACUUUACAAUGCUGGCAACAGCGAUAAGGGAACCUCGAGUGCCAGGUUACAAAUCUGGCUGUCGAGAUGCCUAAAAAGCAUUUCAUAGCAAGGGCCGGGCAAGACCGGUGCCAGCCGCCGCGGUAACACCGGCGGCUCGAGUGGUAACCGUUAUUAUUGGGUCUAAAGGGUCUGUAGCCGGCCGGAUAAGUCUCUUGAGAAAUCUGGCAGCUUAACUGUCAGGCUUUCAGGAGAUACUGUCUGGCUCGAGGCCGGGAGAGGUGAGAGGUACUUCAGGGGUAGGGGUGAAAUCUUGUAAUCCUUGAAGGACCACCAGUGGCGAAGGCGUCUCACCAGAACGGACCUGACGGCAAGGGACGAAAGCUAGGGGCACGAACCGGAUUAGAUACCCGGGUAGUCCUAGCCGUAAACGAUACUCGCUAGGUGUCGGCCACGGUGCGACCGUUGUCGGUGCCGUAGGGAAGCCGUGAAGCGAGCCACCUGGGAAGUACGGCCGCAAGGCUGAAACUUAAAGGAAUUGGCGGGGGAGCAC
rnacentral:rRNA from 1 species